ensembl:lncRNA
AACUCUGACCUGAACUUUCUCUUUCGCAGUGGGCUCAUCUUCACUUCUUUCUCUUUAGAGCUGUCUUGACUGACUUUUCUUGCCCUGCUCCGACCUUCCCUUUGAUGCCUUUGGGGUUUCCUUUUCUCCACGCUCUCAUUGGAGACCCAAGCUCCCCAGAUCCCAUUCUCCUCCAACUGGUGAUUUACAUACUUAAACUGUCUGCAAACUCCCUUCGCCUGGUAGUUCAGUGGGUUCUCACAUCCUCAAGAUUCCCAAAGCAAAGAUUACCUUUCUCAAAACCUCCCCUGAUACUAUUACCUCAGUGUAAGGCAUCAUUCAUCAAAUAAAAAUGAAAACCGAAUGGGACAUUUUCUUGUCUCCCCUCCCUGGAGCUCUAUUUCACUAACACCCAGUAUAAAACAGCGUACUGAGACAGUCUCGUCUCGCCUCCUCCAAGUGUUCAUCUUUGGUCUCCAGCCAGCCCUUGUCUACAUUCUCAGCCUCUCCUGUUUUGCUCUCUGCUUGAUUUAUUCUCACUUGACCACUUCCCACAGGAAACAAGUACCUCUUUUCACUUCUCCCCUAACAUUUUACACAUAUCUCAAACCUUGGGAUACUUUCAAGUAGAAGCGGAAUGCAAUGACUUAAGUACGUAGCCUCUGAACUCAGCUUCACCACUUACCAGCAGACAGCUUACUUAACCUCUCUUAACCUUACUUAAUCGUCGUUCUCACAUCCACAGAUUGGAAGACGACCAUAGUACACAAGGCAAAAUCAAGCAAUUGGCUGAAAAAUUGGAGGAGUGCACAAAUUAUAACCUCAAGAAAUAACCCACUUCAAGAAAUAUGUCAUUAAGAAGUUUCAAAGUUAAUCAUGACUUAUAUACAGCGAGACUACAGCUGCACCCCAGUGAGCAACGCGUGCGCGUGCGGCCAGCCAGUGGCUCUGCUCCCAGCUGCAGCUCCUGGGGGAAGUUGGGGAAGAGCCCUGCCCCUCCUCAGUACCUCUGGUCCCCCAACCACAACCACAGCUGCAUCCCAAACAAUGGCUCCACGAGGCCACAGACAUGACGUGCAAAUUUGGGGAAAAUGUCUGCUUCCCUCUCCUCCACCAUCAGAAACUGAAUGGUGCCUUUGUUUUGAGUGUAUUUUAGCACGGUUCUUUUCUUUAGUGAUAGAAGCACACAAUAGGUCAGAGGAGGAUAUAAAAACUCAAGAUGUCGAGCUCUCACACUCAUAGGCCGAAUGACAUUUUUCUCUUUCCAUAAGUCCCAGUAUUUUCUGGAAGAUUUGAGAAGAUCUGAGAUUCUAAUGAAGGAAUCACUAAACACUAUGUUUUAAAAUUUUGAAAAGGUACCUGGGUACUUCUUAAUUUUCAAAUCAUAAUUUUCAAAAGAGUUCACACAGU